UAACUUUUUGUCCAAAACGAUUUUUGAAGGACAGGCUCAUAACAGAAACUGCCGCUCCGGUGUCAACUAAAGCAAAAGCACUCACAUUGUCAACUAAAACACACUUUGUUUUUAAACAAUUUUACACAAGGGGGUCUUGAUGAAGAUGAACAUAUUGCAGCCUCACCCCCGUCGGUCGCACCAGCUAGUUUCCCAGCGCAGCGGUGACAACGAGCAACAACGAGGUGAUGGAGAGCGUCGUUGUCGUGUUGGUGGUGGUGUGAUGCUGCAAUCGGAAACGGGGGAGUCACUGCGGUUCGCGCGUCCCUGCUGCAGCCGCUGGAAGAAACUAGGAUAUGGCCAGGGCUCGUCAGCGGGCACACUCGGCAUCCUACAAAUACCUCGGAGUUCACCACUCGCCAUCCCUAUCAUGGGCGUUGCACAUACAAACCAUCUGCUCAGAUGCUACGCGGGCUGUUAGAUACGGGACCGUUUCCUGAGCCUGCUUCGAGUUCCCCAGACCACAUCGAAUCGCACCACAGCUAAUUAAGGAGCGCAGAAGCACGGAUACAACAUUCCUGAGGCACGGCACGUGCAAACAAGUUGGCGGACCCCGCUUCGUGUGCCACCGGUGGAGCUAUUCACUGCUUGACUCUUCCCGAAAGUGAAGCGAGAGCCUGGCACUGUUGCAGGUAAAGUGGGUCCCGAAGCAAGACGGCUGUAAUGCGCCGUGAAAACCUGGCGGCGUCGCCCCCAUUUAUCUAUGGUGACGGCACAUUGCAAGUCAGCAAGGCAAGACCGCAGGGAGAAGAAAGCCCUCGGAUAAACACACGAGCAGCGACUCUUCACCGGGUGUGACUCCAUCGCACGGGCGCCUACCAUUGGCCGAAAAUGACGACACCUGAGCGGGCUCGCCGAUUGGUCGAAAAUGGCGUCACCUGAGCGGGCUCUCCCAUUGGCUGAACCUGACGUGUCUUCGAGACACCGAAGGGCUUAAAAGAUGCAGACCGGGAGCAGCAGAAGAGAUUCCUAGAGCAUUCCUUGAUUCAUCUCUUUCGAGCUUCUUGCCACGGGCCGCAGCGUCCAAGUUUUUGCCGGCUCGUAAUGACUCUACGACUGUUAAUUGACUCUCACUGUAAAUAAUGUAAAUAAAACCUCCCAAGUUUUUCAUCC